CCUACGGGUGGCAGCAGUGAGGAAUAUUGGUCAAUGGGCGGAAGCCUGAACCAGCCAAGUAGCGUGCAGGAUGACGGCCCUACGGGUUGUAAACCUCUUUUGUCAGGGAGCAAAGUCACCCACGUGUGGGUGUUGGAGAGUACCUGAAGAAAAAGCAUCGGCUAACUCCGUGCCAGCAGCCGCGGUAAUACGGAGGAUGCGAGCGUUAUCCGGAUUUAUUGGGUUUAAAGGGUGCGUAGGCGGGUUAUCAAGUCAGCGGUAAAAUCGUGGAGCUCAACUCCAUCCAGCCGUUGAAACUGAUGAUCUUGAGUGGGCGAGAAGUAUGCGGAAUGCGUGGUGUAGCGGUGAAAUGCAUAGAUAUCACGCAGAACUCCGAUUGCGAAGGCAGCAUACCGGCGCCCGACUGACGCUGAAGCACGAAAGCGUGGGUAUCGAACAGGAUUAGAUACCCGAGUAGUC
rnacentral:rRNA from 1 species